UAUAUACUAUUCCUUCGUCCCAAAAUUCUUGUCUUAGAUUUGUCUAGAUACGGAUGUACCUAAUACUAAAACGUGACUUGAUACAUCCGUAUUUGGGCAAAUCUAAGACAAGAAUUUUGGGACGGAGGGAGUAGUAC
rfam:Triticum aestivum genome assembly, contig: Triticum_aestivum_CS42_TGACv1_scaffold_577256_7BL